rnacentral:rRNA from 1 species
UGGGGAAUAUUGCACAAUGGGCGAAAGCCUGAUGCAGCAACGCCGCGUGAGUGAUGAAGGCCUUCGGGUUGUAAAGCUCUGUCUUUUGGGACGAUAAUGACGGUACCAAAGGAGGAAGCCACGGCUAACUACGUGCCAGCAGCCGCGGUAAUACGUAGGUGGCAAGCGUUGUCCGGAUUUACUGGGCGUAAAGGAUGCGUAGGCGGAUUUUUAAGUGAGAUGUGAAAUACCCGGGCUUAACUUGGGUGCUGCAUUUCAAACUGGGAAUCUAGAGUGCGGGAGAGGAGAAUGGAAUUCCUAGUGUAGCGGUGAAAAUGCGUAGAGAUUAGGAAGAACACCAGUGGCGAAGGCGAUUCUCUGGACCGUAACUGACGCUGAGGCAUGAAAGCGUGGGUAGCAAACAGGAUUAGAUACCCUGGUAGUCCACGCCGUAAACGAUGAGUACUAGGUGUAGGAGGUAUCGACCCCUUCUGUGCCGCAGUUAACACAAUCAAGUACUCCG